rnacentral:rRNA from 1 species
AUUGAACGCUGGCGGCAGGCCUAACACAUGCAAGUCGAACGAGUGGCGGACGUGUGAGAAAUGUGUGUGAAACUCCCUGAUGGAGGGGGAUAACUACUGGAACCGGGAGCUAAUACCGCAUUCCAUCAGAUGUGCCCAGAUGGGAUUAGCUUGUUGGUGGGGUAACGGCUCACCACGGCGACGAUCCCUAGCUGGGCUGAGAGGAUGACCAGCCACACUGGAAAUGAUACACGGUCCAGACGCCUACGGGAGGCAGCAGUGGGGAAUAUUGCACAAUGGGCGCAAGCCUGAUGCAGCCAUGCCGGGUGUAUGAAGAAGGCCUUCGGGUUGUAAAGUACUUUCAGCGGGGAGGCGUUACCCGCAGAAGAAGCACCGGCUAACUCCGUGCCAGCCGCCGCGGUAAUAC